rnacentral:rRNA from 1 species
AACGAACGCUGGCGGCAUGCCUAACACAUGCAAGUCGAACGAGACCUUCGGGUCUAGUGGCGCACGGGUGCGUAACGCGUGGGAACCUGUCCUUAGGUUCGGAAUAACUCCCCGAAAGGGGUGCUAAUACCGGAUAAUGUCUUCGGACCAAAGAUUUAUCGCCUUUGGAUGGGCCCGCGUUGGAUUAGCUAGUUGGUAGGGUAAAAGCCUACCAAGGCGACGAUCCAUAGCUGGUCUGAGAGGAUGAUCAGCCACACUGGGACUGAGACACGGCCCAGACUCCUACGGGAGGCAGCAGUGGGGAAUAUUGGACAAUGGGCGAAAGCCUGAUCCAGCAAUGCCGCGUGAGUGAUGAAGGCCUUAGGGUUGUAAAGCUCUUUUACCCGGGAUGAUAAUGACAGUACCGGGAGAAUAAGCUCCGGCUAACUCCGU